GGGGGCGACCAGGCUUCGACGUGGAUCCUGAAACCCGAGACGCAUGUCGAGCCGGCAACGAAGGCUCGUAAAUCCAUCAGUUGCAAACAGAUAGUUGCAAACGAUAGUAAUUAUCUCCAAGAAGCUUACGCAUAAAGCUUCUUCCGUUGCUGGGAUUCGCUUAUAGAUCCCUACCAACGGCCAUAGCAUAUAAGCUCGCCCUCAAGCAUGGCUCAUGACUUGAAGGUUAAACAGAAGAGCUCGCAGUCAAUUUCCCCUGCACGUCGGGCGAUUGACUGUUAAAUCAUAGACGAUGCUAAGCAUGUAGUGUCAACGGCGGAUGAUUUACGGACGCGGGUUCAAUUCCCGCCGCCUCCAUCA
rnacentral:tmRNA from 18 species